GACGAACGCUGGCGGCGUGCCUAAUACAUGCAAGUAGAACGCUGAAGGAGGAGCUUGCUUCUCCGGAUGAGUUGCGAACGGGUGAGUAACGCGUAGGUAACCUGCCUGGUAGCGGGGGAUAACUAUUGGAAACGAUAGCUAAUACCGCAUAAGAGUAGAUGUCGCAUGACAUUUGCUUAAAAGGUGCAACUGCACCACUACCAGAUGGACCUGCGUUGUAUUAGCUAGUUGGUGAGGUAACGGCUCACCAAGGCAACGAUACAUAGCCGACCUGAGAGGGGGAUCGGCCACACUGGAACUGAGACACGGCCCAGACUCCUACGGGAGGCAGCAGUAGGGAAGCUUCGGCAAUGGACGGAAGUCUGACCGAGCAACGCCGCGGGAGUGAAGAAGGGUUUCGGAUCGUAAAGCUCUGUUGUAAGAGAAGAACGAGUGUGAGAGUGGAAAGUUCACACUGUGACGGUAUCUUACCAGAAAGGGACGGCUAACUACGUG
rnacentral:rRNA from 1 species